ACUACUUUAUCCCAUCUAUUGGGAUUAUUUUAUACCAUCUAAAAGAUGAUAUAAAAUAAUCCAUGUAUAAGUGGGUUAAGAAGGUAUAAGCUGGGUUAUCCCAGCACUAAUUUUUAUACCAUGUUUGGUACAAGGUAAAAAUUUAUCCCAACACUAAUUUAUACCUUAUACCAAACAUGAUAUAAAAAUUAGUGCUGCGAUAACCCAACUUAUACCUUAAACCAAACGACCCCUAAAGCAAUUAAUGUAGUGAGUGUCAUGUCCACGUGGGAUCUUGACAAUUAAAGUAUCAUUUGUAUGGUCUAUUGAGUUGACGCCUAUGGGAUAAGGAUCAAGUUUAUAAAUUAUUUUAAAUGAGAUUAUCUUUGCCUCUAAUUGUACAAUUCCACCGUCAACACAUGCUAGUGGGGCCAAAUAUCUUACUUUUAUCACAUCGUUUCUUUGGCUAAGGUUGAGAAUUAUACAUACAUUGCAUACAUAUGCUAAAGGACAUAUAGUUGCUGCACUUUAAGAUAUCUCUCUCUCGGUCAAUAAUGACAUGACAACUUAAGAGCUCAAUUCUCAUUUUAAGGUGUAUUCAUAUGCAGCAACGUUCUAGUAUAGAGAGGCUAUAUAUAUACGUACACUUCUUAUCAUCUCUGUUGGAGAAUUUCUUUAGGAGGAAAUUGCAGCAACAAUUAAAUAAGUCACGAAGUGCAACAAAAUACGGAUUUUGCUAGCAAUCACCGCUCGAUCUCGAAGUUCCAUUUUAUCGCGUAGUUGGAUUCGAGCUUUCGCCAUAGUGAAGUAAGGUGAAAGAAGAUUAUUUAUUGGAAUAUAAGAUAUAGAUCGUGGAGCAGAUACAGGUUGAGUUCUUGAGUCGUUGGGCUAAGACCAGAGUAUCAGAUGGGAACGACUUCUACUCCUCGUGGCUGACUGCUCGAGGAUUUGCUGAUUCGAGUCUUUUAUGGUGAGCAUGAGUGUUACAUCUCGUGUUUUCAUGCGCUGGAAAGUGUGCGAGUUAAAUGAUAGUAGUAAUGGAAAUGAGGUUAUCCCCCAAGCUUAUACGUGGUUAGAGUGAUGGUACAGAUGUGUCGUAAGGAUUACAAGUUAAACAAAUCGAAGAAAAUAAGUUUCGUCGAGGUUCGAAAUUUAUCUGAAUGAAAUAUGGUCCCAGCUAUAAUAUUUUAUAUUUUUGGACAAGGAAAUUGAACCGUCCAACAUGAGAAAAUUUACCCGAGCCCAGAAAAUUUGAUCAUAUUCAAGCAUGAAAAUCAUGAACUCAGUGUAUAUGAGGAAUGAAGUCCCGAAAUGAUCUAAGACGAAAAAGUGUGAUGAAGAUGAUUGCAAAUGAUAUUUUGUGUAUGAAAAAAGAAAUUGUGAACUAGUGUUAUAUCCCAUGAUCAUACUAAUAAGUAUAUGAAGGGUUGAAAGUGAUUAGUAUUUAAGUAAAAGUGGGAGACAGAGUGUGAUUAUAAAAUAAAGGGAUUAAUGUAGUGAGUGUCAUGUCCACGUGGGAUCUUGACAAUUAAAGUAUCAUUUGUAUGGUCUAUUGAGUUGACGCCUAUGGGAUAAGGAUCAAGUUUAUAAAUUAUUUUAAAUGAGAUUAUCUUUGCCUCUAAUUGUACAAUUCCACCGUCAACACAUGCUAGUGGGGCCAAAUAUCUUACUUUUAUCACAUCGUUUCUUUGGCUAAGGUUGAGAAUUAUACAUACAUUGCAUACAUAUGCUAAAGGACAUAUAGUUGCUGCACUUUAAGAUAUCUCUCUCUCGGUCAAUAAUGACAUGACAACUUAAGAGCUCAAUUCUCAUUUUAAGGUGUAUUCAUAUGCAGCAACGUUCUAGUAUAGAGAGGCUAUAUAUAUACGUACACUUCUUAUCAUCUCUGUUGGAGAAUUUCUUUAGGAGGAAAUUGCAGCAACAAUUAAAUAAGUCACGAAGUGCAACAAAAUACGGAUUUUGCUAGCAAUCACCGCUCGAUCUCGAAGUUCCAUUUUAUCGCGUAGUUGGAUUCGAGCUUUCGCCAUAGUGAAGUAAGGUGAAAGAAGAUUAUUUAUUGGAAUAUAAGGUAAUAAUUCUCCUCUACUAGAUAAAUUUAAAGUUCGCCCAGGUCAUAGCUAAAUUAUGAGUUGAGAAUUACAAAAUUAAUUGCGGAAUAUCAGAUAAGUUAUUAUUGCUGUUGUGUGGGCUGAUUUGGUGUAUAUUUCUGGAUUAUGUUGUGGCUGGAAAUUGUUGGAGUAACUUAAGUAUAUUGUUAUUGUUGUCAUUCAUAUGUAUUUUGAAGGAAAGAAAAAUAGGAGAAGUGUGUUUGAAAAUCGUAUUCCGGCUUGUCGCUCGUCGCGAAAUGUAUAUGACUUGUUGCUGCUGCAUGGUAUCUUAUUAUUGAUGUAUACACUUGCUAGAUUGUUCUGGUUGUUUUUUGUUGAUAUAUGGAGUUUGGGAAAAUGAGAAGGCGGGCGAGAUGCUGCCCGUUUUGUUUUAGGUUAAGUUAAAUUUUCAUUAUACGAUUAAGAGAAUCAUUUGUAUGGUUAACGAUAGUAUCAUUGUUGUUAGAUAUAGAUCGUGGAGCAGAUACGGGUUAAGUUCUUGAGCCGUUGGGCUAAGAACAGGUUUGUUAAGGCUAUCAUUUUCUUUCAUUUUUGUAUAAUCCUUAUGAUAUGAACGAACAAACGAAUGAGCGAGCUUCCAUAUUACUCUACUGUUAGAAGCAUUAGGAGCAGUUUAGUCUUUGAUGAUCCUAUACCCUUUUUAUGAUUGUUCCUUCUGUUCUUGGGCCCUGAGAUUUCAUACAUUGAUGAAGUUAGCUCAAAAGAUGUCUAUCAGAGGCAGUAUGACCUUAUGUCACUCUGAGAGUUCUAGUUACUCAUUAUGCUUAAGCAUUGCAUUUAUUAUACAUAUGCAUAUUGACCCUUGACCAGAAGGCGUUAUAUACGCGUAUAUUUGUCACGCCCCUAAUUGAGGUUCCCUAAUCAUAGCAGCGCAUCACACCGGAAUAUGAAAUUCAACGGUGGCUAUCCUUCCUCCCGAAUAGCUUGGCAUAAUCACACCCCAGGUAGCGAACCUAGAAGUGGCCACUCUUCCUCCCGAAUGGCUAGACAUUAUCACACUAGGAUCCAUAGUGGCUACCCUUCCUCCCGAGUAGCUAGGCCAAACACAACAACAAAGUUCAUAGCAUAGAAGCCGAUUCACAAUUUGUCUCAUAGUAGUCACACUAUCAAUUAACAUUAAAGCUCAAUGUGCCAUUACAAAGAUCCAUAAUUUCGUAGAUAAUCUUGAAAACGUUUCCACUUCUUUAAACAGAUUCCAUUGUCAUAGUUCAUUGUAAUCCAUCAGUACCAACAAUUAAACAUCAUUAUUGAUCAUCUCUUAUGGAGGAAAAUGAUUAUGAUUUCAUAUAUGUAUAUAGAGGAUAAUACAAUCAAGGUUUAAUGUGGGCUUGUCCCCUCACACACACCAACCACUAUCAAAACAUGAAUUAGGGUUUUAUAUGAUAAGUUCACCUUUUUAUUCAAUAAAGAUCUAUUGAGAAGAAGACAUAUAUCCAUAAUAAGGUUUUUAAAAGAGUGACAUACCUUAAUUAAGCCUUACGUAACUCAACAAUUCACUUUUACAACCAAGAACACCCAAAACCCUAGCUUGAGUCAGUUUGAGAAAGACUACCUUGCAACCUAGGUUUUUCAUUCAAGAAUCAUGUUAAGAAUCAUGGGUUUAACGCUAGGGUUGAUUAAUAAUGUUAAAGAUGUUCUUACCUUAUGUUUUGGGGAAACCCUAGGGUUAUUUCUCUUCAAAAAGUCGACCAAAGAUGAAUUGGAAUGAUGGUUUAAGAAAUUUUCACGUUUUGGGGGUUUUUAUAGUCGAGUAAGGGGCAUGCCGCAUCGUGCGAAUCACACGUUUGAUCCAUGAAACACAACCCUACUGCACGACGUGUCAGAGGGGCGUGAUUUCUGGUGUUCAUCCUGAGAUUCGCAGGAUGAUCCCGCGAAACGCAGGUUAGUAAAAUGGCCAUAAAUUUUUACUCGCAAGUCCAUUGACGCUCCACUAUAUACCUUUGGAAAGAUAUUUCAAAGAUAUACAACUUCUAUUAAAGGAAGUUUUCCCAAAUUCGCAACGGAUUUUCACGAAAUUGGCCUACAAGACAAGUCAACAAAUCUUAGGCGAUUUUAAGAACUCUUACGUACUUCACUACUUGGUCUUGAUCUUAAAUCAACUAUUUCCACCCAAACUCAUAUUGAUAGGACUUCAUAUGCAUAAAAUGUCACAUUAAUUCUCAUUUAAUACCUUCACACCUAACUCAGAUUUACAGAGUGUUACAAUAUUAUAUGUGUAUGGGGUAUGGGGAAAGGGAUAGGCGUUAUACACGCAUUACCACCUGACCAACUAGUGCACAGUGAUGAUAAUGAUGAUAUAUGGAUCGGGCCAUAUGUUCCUCGACAUUAUUUUAUGAUAUAAGGAUCGGGCCGUACGUUCCUCAGCACUAACAUAUGGUAUAUGGAUCGGGUUGUACGUUCCACAGCACUAACAGUUAUAUUAUGACUUAUGCAUAUCAUACGCCUUCAGAGGCAUCUUUAGCUAAGCAGAGUUUUAUAGAUAUGUUCAGAUAUUCAGUCCUACAGAUGCAUUCAGACAGCCAGUUGAGCUUAUGAGUUUCAGAUUCUCUUCAUGAUUCUUAUGUAUAUGCUACUCUUAUGCUUUACAUAAUCAGUACAUUAUCUGUACUGAAUCUCCUAUUAUUCGGGGGAGGGGGGCUGUGUUUCAUGCCCGCAAGUUUGCAAAUACAAGUUGGUGAUCCAUCUAUUAGGAUGUCAGCUCAGCGGAUGAAGUUGAUGCACUCCGUUUGUUCUGGAGAUGCCAGGAGUCAGCACCGUCUUAUGUAUAUAUAGAUAUGUACGCGCAUAUGUUUAUGGGUAUGGCGAGGCCCUGUCCUGGCCAUGUUAUAUUAUUUUUCCAUUAGAGGCUUGUAGACAGUUAUGUACAGUCAGAUGAUGUCCAGACUUGAGAGUUCAUAUGUUGUCACAAGUGGUUAUGAUAGCCUUACCAGCUCAUACAGCAUGUCCAGUAUUGUCACACAUGGGUCUUUUAGGACAGUUGAUACAUGCAUGUUUGUAUGAGUUUAUUGAGAGUCAAAUGACGACCUUAUUGGUCCACCUAUGCUUAUAUUUUUAUCACUGAUGUAUGUUAGUUGGUACUUGAGUAGUACGGUCUGGUGCUCGUCAUGGCCUUUCCCUUUGGGUCAUAACAAUGAGGACGUUCGCUGCCCGAAGACUCCUCUAUCUACUAUGUCUUUAUUUCCGUUCUAAGACAUAUGUUUUGAGACUAUUGAUGUAUUUUUAUUAUUUAGACUUGUAGUAUUUAGUUAGAUGCUCUUGUAUGACCAGACCAGAUACUGGGGUUUAUUUCUCUUGUUU